GAGAAGGUAGGGUUGCAGGUGGGAGGGACGUUAUGGGGGGGAAGGCAUUGUAAUCCAUAAGCCGUACUUUGGAAAUUUAUAUUCAUUAAAUAAAAGUUAAAAAAUAUGAUUUUCUAUGCAUUAAUAUAACCACAUUUACCUUAUCUCAGUCUAUUUGUUUAACAUUUUUAUUUAUUUAUGGGCAUGCAGGGAUGGAGAUGAGAGUAAGUUCCAGAGUGAGAGCAAGAGAAUGAGGAAGAAUGUGUGUGUGAGGGAGAGAGAGGGAGGGAGAGAGACAUCUCCCAUCAGCAGGCUUCUCUCUCAAAUACCAAAAAUGCUCAUGGUAGGGCUAAUUCCAAAGUGGUAACUCGACUAAAAUCCAGAUCUCCCACAUUGGUGGCAAGGACCCAUCAAUUUGAGUCAUCACCUGUUGCUGCCCAAGGGUGUACACCAGCUGGAAACCAGAAUCAGAACUCAAAAUGCUGGAUGAUGACAAUACCCAGAGCUGGUCCAGGCCAGAAGAUGGCAAAUCAAUCCAAGCCACCUCUGUGGGUGACAGAGAAUCAACUAUUUGAGCCAUCACCUGCUGCCUCCCAGAGUUUGCACCAGCAGGAAACUGCAAUCAGGAGUGGAGUUGGGACUCCAAUCCAGGCCCUCCAAUAAGGGAUGCAGCUGUAUCAAGUGGCAUCUUAAUUGCUAUGACAAAGGCCUGCCCUUUAUUAACAGUGUGUAGCAUCACAAAUAAAGGUCCUUAGAUGUAAAAUUAUUCUGUGCCACAUAGUCUACAAACUUCCACAAUUUCUUUUUCCCAUCACUAUUCAUCUACAAGGGAUACUGAAAUAUGACCUACAAGUGAUGUCAAAAAUAACAUACUAAUCGUUAUACAUGGAAGAUAGGAUGAGGCAAAUUGAUGUUUGGCAUUGUCAACUACUUUAAGGAUGGAUAUACUCAAGAUGUUAUCAUCUCUCUUACAUUGGCAAAAGCACUUUUUGUUGCAGUUAAUUUUGAAUCCUCAAUCACUUUAAAAGUUAGUCAAUCUCUAGAAUUAAUGUCCAUGACCACUUGUAAUAAGAGCUAUAUUCAUCCAGGUAUCAGUUUUAUUUGUGUGAAGACCUAUAUCUGUACCCGAAUAUAUUUUGAUCAUUAAAUAUUAAACUAUUAUCUAUAAAAAUAAAAUAUUACUCUGUAAAGAAAAUAUAUUCUAUAAAAGUUGAACAUUUGGGAACAACUAUGAAUUUGAGUGUCAAAACUGUCAAACUAGGCAUGUAUUAUUCAAAUAAAAUAUUUUGAAAAAGUAUAAAAUGUAUAUAUGCAAAUUACUCAUUAAUCACUUUCAAGUAUUUUCUAUUUAAAUAUUUCAGAAUGAAACCAUAUUAUAUCUGAUUUGAAAUUUUGUUGAGUCAACCAAAUUCUAGUUUAUUUUACUGCAUGGUACUAUAACUUGCUUUCAGAUAAGAGACUACACAAAUGCAAGCUUAAAUAUGCCAGUUAUAUAUAAACAGUAAACCUGUAUAGAGAGUUCAUGUCUAAAAUUAUUUUUUAAAGUAUAUAAGUGUAUAAUGUAGAAAACUACAUGUAAAUCAAUGAUGAUUAUGCUACAGCCAAUAAUUAUGAUUAGUUUAAUUAUUUUAAUUGAAAGCAUAAAAUAUAAAAUGAACAAAAAACAUAGGUCAUACUUAACCACAUGCAAAAUAGAGUUAAUCUACAUUUAGUGAAUCCUUACUUACAGAUGAACACCAAAGGACAAAACUCCUGAAUUUGCACCCAUUCAACUUUUUCCACUUGACAUGUACAGAGUGCAGCAGAAAAGUGACAUUCAGGUAUUUUCUGAACAAGAGAAACAUUAUUAAAAUCAUGUUUUUCAUAAAAAAUUGCAUACUAGUGGCCACCUUUUGCACUGAUAGACCACAAGUAAUCUUAUUAUGGUAGCGCAGCUAAUUGCCCCUUGCAUCAACUUGCAGCAACCAAAGACAGAGUAAUGUCCAUUGGAUAAAGAGCAAAGACCAGAUAAAGAGCAGUUACACACUUUUCUCCAUUAGGAUCUAGAAAUUAGUUUUCAACACACAAAAAUAAAUAUCUCUUUCAAGAACCUAAUUUACCUUUUACACAUAGUAAGGAAUGAUUUCUUUCUCAGUUGCCCACCAUUUAUCACCAUAGUGUAAAGUUUUUCUCAUCCCCGUUUCUGGCUCUUCCCUUGCAUUCCCCAUUUUGUAUUGAUACAUUUUAUUCUUCUUAAAGAUUACCUUAAAACUUUUUCAAUUUCAAAAUUCCCAAGUCUGGCUCUCUCCUUUAUAAUUGAUUAGAUGUUGAGUGGUUUGGUGGCUAAUUUUUCAACUGCCUUAUUUCAUAUGUGCCUUCCAUUUUAUUCCUAACUAUUGGUAAUUUUCAUUAUGCUUAAUUGCUCCUAUGAAAAAUAACACACACACGCACACACACACAACAUUGAAGGUAAGGUUAAAUGGCUAAAAUAAGUUGCCUUCUCAACAUUGCAAUUUUUUUGUUCAUAUAGGUUUAUAUAAAAUAGUCAUCUUAUUGUUUUAAAAUGGAAAUUUAUGUAUUUGGGUACAUAAAUCUUGAAAAGUGGAAGAAUAAUUCUUAAUGGAUAAAAAAAAAUUCAGGCCAAAGGUAUACGCAAACCCAUCCUCAAUUAACAUGGCAGUUUGAUAAUCCUUAGCAGCUGCCACUUGGGAACAAUUAUGACUGUUCACAUCAAAAUUCAAAUAUAAUAUUAUAUGUGAACCAGAGUUGAAUGAUUGUCAAAUACCCAUCCAAUUUUCUCAACUGAAUAUACAGAGCAAUCCGCCUCUUACCCAGUGAAUUUUAAUUUUACAUUGUAUUUAUAAACUUUUAUUCAUAGUAAGGCUGUUCAUUUUAAAUAAUGAUUUAAUUAAUUGAUGAGAUCCCAUGAGACUGACAGAGUUCUCACAUCCCUUGGGUCUCUUCCCAGAUUUCUAUAACAGCUUCAGGCUAGGGCCAACUGAAACCCUGAAUCAAGGUGGCAUGAACCAAACCAUAUGAAUCUCCAAGACUUUCUCACAGGGUUGCAUGACAAGGAAGCUGGAUUGACAGGCUUAAUCCAGUAUGCAACUCAGAUACUCUGAUAUGGGUUAUGGGCAUCUUAACUGCUAAGACAAAAUCUGCCCUGAAAUAGACCAAUCAUUCUGUUUUUCUCCUUCUAUAUUUUUACCUUAUUGUGUAGAGGGAAUGAGCACCCUUUAACUAUAUGUGUGUUAUUUUUGUCAGUAUUAGUUUUAAUAAAGUCUGUACUUUAUCAAUGGUAUAAAUAACUACAAAUUGAAAUAUUUGAAUUAACUUGAUUGAUUGGCUGUAUUUAUUGUCAUUACUUAUAAAAACAAAUAUCAAAAUAGGCAAUGUAGGGAAUAUUAAACAAAAAUUCUAAUAUACAAGAAACCAUGAUAUAUCAUAUAUCAGAUAUUAAAAUUUACCAUAAAUAAUUUAAGUAUACUGUAAUGUGAUGGUAUCAGGUUACAGAUUUACAUCCUUGAUUUAUUGUGAAUUAAUUUUUGUAUAAGAUGUAAAAGAAGAGUCUUGAUUUUAAGGGAUUCUUAAACAACAAAAACAAAGCUGGAGGCAUCACCAUAUCAGACAUCAAGACACACCACAUGGCUGUUAUAAUCAAAACAGCCUACUACUAGCACAGCACAAAAAUAUACAUGAAGACCAAUUAAACAGAAUAGAAAUCCCAAAAAUUAGUACAUGCAUCUACAAUGAAUUUUUGAUGAAUGAGCUAAAAUCACUGUCUGUAGAAAGGACAUCCUUCUCAACAAAAAGGGAUGGGAAAAUUGGAUAUUUUCACACCGAUAAUGAAACAAGGCCUUUCUUUGCUAUUUGGGAUCAUUCAUGUUUCCAUAUCAAUUUUAACAUUGCUUUUAUCUAGAUCUGAGGAGGAUGGUAUUUUGAUUGGAAUAACUUUGAUUGCUUUUCAUAGUAUGGACAUUGUGAUUACAUUGAUUCUUCCAAACCAUGAAAAUGUACCACUUUUUGUGUGUUUUACUCAAUUUAUUUACUUAAUGUUUUGUAAAUUUUAUUUUAAAUAUCAUUCACAUCCUUCAUAAACUUAUUUUAAGGCAUGGAAGAGUUUUGGUUAGUGUUAUUUCUAAGCCACGGCAUUGUUUGUAUAUACAAAUACUAUUUGUGUUGAUUUUUAUAAGUUACAACUUUGACAAACUCUCUUGUGAGUUCCAAGACUUUCUUAAUGAAGUCUUUGGUUCCAAUAAAUAUAAGAUGAUGUCAUCCACAACAGAUAAUUUGAGUUUCUUCUUUCCAAUUUGUACCAUUUUACAUUUCUUUCUCUUGCUGAAUGACUCUUGCUAAAUCUUUGAGAACUUUACUGAAUAGCAAUGAUGAAAGUGUGCUUAUUUCUACUUCAACAUCUUAGUGGAUAUGCUUCCCAAUUUUCCUUAUUCAAUAUGAUGCUGCCUGUAAGUUUUUCACAUAUUGACUUGAUUAUGUUUUGUAUAGUCUUUCUAUACUGAUUUUGCUUAAUGUUUUUAUCAUGACAGGAUGUUUUCUCUGCACUUAUUGAGAUAAUCUUUUGGAUUUCACUCAUCAAUUUGUUAAUGUUAUGUAUAACAUUUAAUAGUUGCAUAUGGUGCACCAUCUCUGCAUUCCUGAGAUAAAUCCCACCAGGUCUUGGUGUAAUCUUUUUGGUGUGUUGUUGGAUUUCUUUAGCUAGUACCUUGUUUAGGAUCUUUGCAUCAGUGUUCUUCAGGAAUAUCAGUUUGUAGUUCUCUUUGUUGUAUCUUUUUUAGGGAUUUAGUAUAAAGGUGACACUGGCUUCGUAAAAGGGGUUAAACAUAAAUCACGCUCUUUCAACUAUUUUGAAUAGUUCUAAAAGCAUUGAAAUUGUUUAAUGAAAAGUUAAUUAGAAUUCAGCUACGAAGCCAUUAAAUCUUUCACUUUUUUCUUGGGAAUGUCUUUAUUAGUGGUUCAAUCUCCAUCUUGGUUAUUGGUCUAUUUAGAAUUUCAGUGUCAUCAUACUCAAUUUUGGUAUAGCUUAUGUGUCCACAAAUCUAUCCAUUUCUUAUAUAUUAUCCAAUUUGCUGGGAUAAAAUUAAAUAAAAUAAUUUCUAACAAUUCUUUUCACUUCACUGGCAUCAGUUGUAACAUCUGCAUUUCCAUCUCUGAUUUUAUUAAUUUGGGUCUUCUCUUUUUUGGUGAUUUAAGCUAACUGUUAAUUAACUUUAUUGUUGUUUAAAAAAGUCAGCUCUUCAUUUCACUGAUCUUUUUGUAUCUUUUUUGACUUCAAUGUUAUAUAUUUCUUCUCUAAUUUUUAUUAUUUCUUAAAUUGGGUUUGGUUUAUUCUUGUUCAUCUAGGUCUUGGAGAUGUAUUGCAAAUUUCAUGAUAUAGGCACUAAUUGCUAUUUAAUCUUUCUUCAUAACAUGGUUUUUGCCAUAUCCCAUAAAUGUUGAUGUGAUGUGCUGACAUCUCUUGUUUAGUUCAUGGAAGUUUUUUUUUUUUUUUUAUUUCCUUUUGAGUUCUAUGAUACACUGUUCAGUUAGGACCAUGUUGUUCAGACUCCAGGUUUUUGUAUAUUUUCUAGAAUUUUUGUGUUAUAAAUUGUUGCAUUUGAUUUAUCAACAAUGUUGCAGUGGAUUCGUUUCUGAGAGGAACAUGGUGGGGGCAAGAGGUGUGGAGUCACCACACAGACUCCAGGCGUCAGGUGAAAGCAGUCCUGAGGCGAGCAGCCUGCAGAUUCGUUUAUUUGAGUUAGUACAACAGCUUAUGUAGCCCAGACCAGUCAAUCCAGUCAAGGGGCGGUCUAGGCCCCAACCAAUCACAGCCUGUUGCCAGGCAGUUUCCAAAGCCAUCCAAUCACAGCCUGUUGCCAGUCAGGCUCUUGUCACCAGGCAGUUUCUGAAACCAUCCAAUCACAGCCUGCCGUCGGUCAGGCUCUGUUGUUAAGUGGUUUCCUCUGUUGCCAUGUGGUUUCCAAGGCCAUCCAAUCACGGCCUGUUGCCAGGCAGUUUCUGUUGUCAGCAGCCAUCUUGGCAUGACUUUUCACCUCGGUGGCCAGCUUGGCAUGAACUUUUCACCUCAUUCCAUCACAAUUAAUUACCAGCUUAUUUCAACUGUGGUCAGAAAAUAUAUAUAGUAUAAUUUUUUAAUCUGUUGAAAAUUUUUCCCAAACAUGUGAUCUAUUCCAGAUAAUGUCCCAUGCCCUGAUUGUGUAUUCUUCUUCUGAGAAAUGGAUUCUUCUGUAGAUAUGAAUUAGAUUCAUUUGGAUCAAUGUGUAGAUUAACCUCAUUGCUUUCUUGGUUGUAUUGUCUGGUGAUGUGUCUAUUGACGAAAGUGGGGUAUUGAAAUCACUAAUUAUGAUUGCUUUGGAAUAUAUGUCUCCCUUUAGAUCCAUUAAUUUUUAUUUUAACUAACUGGGGGGGUUUAAUAUUUUGUUCAUUUACAUUUACUAUAGUCAAAUCUUCCAGUUGAAUUGAUCCCUUAAUCAUUACAUAAUAAUCUUCUUUGUCUAUUUUAACAGAUUUGUCUUAAAGUAUAUUUUGCCUAAUAUUCAGAUAGGUAUGGGGCCAGCACUGUGGCACUGAGAGUUAAAGCCCUGGCCUGCAGGGCUGGUAUCUCAUUUAGGUACCAUUUGGAGCCCUGGCUCCUCCAUUUCUGAUUCAGCUCCCUGAUACUGUGUCUGGGAAAGAAGCAGAAUAUGACCCAAGUCCUUGGGGCCCUACACCCAUAUGGGAGAUCUGGAAGAAGCUCUUGGAUCCUGGCUUUUCCUGGCCCAACUCUGGUCAUUGUAGCCAUUUGGGAAGUAAACCAUUGGAUGGAAGACCCCUCUAUCUCUCUCUCUACCUCUCUCUGUAACUCCACCUUUCAAAUUAAUAAAAUAACUCUUAAAAACAUAGGUAUGCCUCAUUUUUGAUUCCCAUUUGCAUGUACUAGCUUUUUCAAUCCUUUCACUUUUGAUCUGUUUUUUUCUUUGUGAGAUGUUUUUCUUGUAGAGUGCAUAGAGAUUGGACUUCAUUUUAAUCCAUUCAGCCACUCUGUAACAUUAAAUUGGAGUGUUUAGUCUACUUACAUGCUUUGUCAUUGUUACUAAGUAAUGUCUUAGUCCUGACAUUUUUCCAUAUAUAUUCCUAUUGCUUCUUUUGGAUAACCUUUGGACUAUUAAAUUUAUGCCUUCCCAUUCUUUUAGGAUGCUGAUCAUCUUUCUUUGUUUUUCUGUGUAGUUAAUACUUAAGUAUCACUUGAGAGGCUGGACAAAUGGUGGCAAAUUUCUAGUUUUUUAAGAAGAUGCUUAUUUUAUCUUCUUUUAUAAAUAAGAACUCAAUGCAGUGUUUUGGGCUUUUGAGGUUUUAAUUUGGGUAAGAUGUAGACUAUAUCUCUCCAUCUCUCCUAACCUGUUGGUUUUCUGAUGAGAGUCUUAUUGUCAAUCUAAUUGGAGAUCUGUUACAAGAUAGCUGAUACUUCCCUUGUACAUUUUAGGAUGUUUUCUUUGUUUUACCUUUGAAAAUUUGAAUAUAAUGUGUCAUGGUAAAGAUCUCUGAAUGUGACUCUUUGCAGUUCCAUGUGUUCUUGUACUUGGAUAUCCAUAUAUUUAACAAAAUUAGGAAAAUUUCCUGUUAUUGUAUCACCAAAUAAGUUCUCGAAGUCAUUCUGCUAUUCCACUCCUACAGAAAUGCAUAGGACCAGUAUAUUUUGUCUUUAAUGGUACCCUGUAGAUCCUGAGGCAUUUUUUUUUGCAUUUUUAUAAGUUUUAAAAUGUCCUUUCUUUUUAUCAAUUUCAAAACCUUUUUCUUCCAGCUCAGACAUUGUUUAUUCUACCUUACUGAGUCUGUUUUUCAAGUUUUCCACUGUUUCUUUUUACUUAUUAAAUUUUUUAUUCAUAAUAUUUCAGUUUGAUUUUUCUUUAAUUUUUUUCUUAGCCUAAUUUCUUACCCAUAUCAUUCACAGGUUUCUUUAACUCUUGUGAUUCCUUCUGUGUGUUUCUGAGGAGCCUUACAUUUUUAAACUUCCUCUUCAGGCAUUUCAUCAAUCUCAUCUGUACAGUCUAAUGCUGAAAUAUCAUUGUGUUCCUUUUGCAGUCAUAUUGUCUCCCUCAUUCAUGUUCCUUGUAUUUUUAUGCUUAAUUUCAUGUGUAUGUAGAAAACACUUGUUGAUAUCUCCUCUAAAGUCUCUGUACUUAGGAAUCUGCCCUAGGUAUGGUGGGAUGCCUGUAUCUUCCAACAAAUCCAGAGGUGUGUACUAGCUGGGGUCAAGAGUUCUGGAAAACUUUUACAGGUGGGCCCAAAGCCUAGGGUAAAGACUAUGAGCAAAGACUUCUAUGUGAAUCAGGCUCACAUCCUCAUGCUGGUGCAACAAUCUCUUGCCACAGUCACCUGUGGGAUUGUUUCUCUCCAGUGUCUCAGACACCUCCAUCAAAAUAAUGGAGAAUCAGAGAAGUCAGGACAAUAUCUGUGGCUGGCACUGUGGCCUAGUAGUCAUAGUCUGCAGUUCUGUAAUUCCAUAAAAGCAUCAGUUUGAGUAGUUUUUGCUCCACUUCCAAUUCAGCUCCCUGUUAAUUUUCCAUGGGAAAGAAGCACAAGAUGACCCCAAAUCUUGGGCCCCUGAAUCCAAGUAGGAGACCCACAGGAAGCUCCUAGCCACAGCUGUGAGCUGCUAUAGGAAAUCCAAUGUCUCAUUUUUCUAGUUAUUGGAAUUUGUGAGCUUUACUUAACUCAUCAGCUGACCUGAAAUCCUGAAGAUUCUAGCUAUCUCAGUUCCACAGUGUGUCUCUGUAGUCAGGCCUUAAUUGUUUACUAAGCAACCUUUGUGCUAAUAUAGACUUAAGGACUUUAUUGGUGUCCACUUGUCACUGACCAUGCCUGUGCCUAGACAUGCUCAAUAGAGGUGCUUGUUCACCUCUCUGUAUCAAAUUUUUCAGAAACUUUACCUUUUCCACACUUGCCAAGGUAAAAUGAUGUGAUUCAUUUUAUACCCAAUUUCCUUAGGGUUUUCAUCAAUGAAGGAUGUGUAUUUUAUCAAAAGCUUUCUCUGAAUCUAUUGAGAUAAUCAUAUGGUCUUUGUAGUUCAAUUUGGUAAUGUGAUGAAUCACAUUUAUUGACUUAGGAAUGUUGAACCAUCCCUGAAUACCAGGGAUGAGUGAUCUUUCUAAUGUGUUGUUGGAUUUGAUCCACUAACAUUGUGUUGAGGAUAUUUGUGUCUAUGUUCAUCAGGGAAAUUGGCCUAUAAUUCCCUUUCUCUAUAAAUAAAAAGCUUUUAUUUGUUUACUUGAAAGUUGGUGUUACAGAAAGAAAGAAAAAGAGUGAGGUCUUGCAUUCCCUGAUUCACUCCCCACAUUGGCUGUAAUGGCCACAGCUGCACUGAUCCAAAGCCAGGGGACAGGCAUGGUUCUCCCAUGCAGUUGCAGAGGCCCAAGGACUUGGGCCAUCUUCUACUCCCUUCCCAGGCCACAGAAGAGAGCUAGGUGAGAAGUGGAGCAGACUGGACUCAAACCAGUGCCCAAGUGGGAAGCCGGCACUGCAGAUGGCAGUUUACCCAAUACACCAUGGUACCAGCCCCUAUAAUUAUCUUUCUCUAUUGCAACUUUUUUUCUUGUUUAGGAACUAAGGUGAAAUUGGCUUCAAGGAAGAAGUUAGGGAGGAAUCCCUCUAUUUCAGUUAUUUUGAAUAGCUUGAGAAGAAUUUGAAUUAGUUCUUCAAUUGUUAGAUACAAUUCAGAAGUGAGGCUGUCCUUUCUGGACUUUCUUAUUGGGCUGGCUUUUAUUUUUGAUUCACUCUCCAUUUAGCUUAUUGAUCUGUUUAGGGGGUAAGAAGAUUACUGGUUCUAAAUUUGAAAUGAAUGAUUUUUUAUACUUUAAAUAAAAGGUUUCUAGGUAAAAAAUAGGAUAAACUCAUUUAACAGAUGUGAAAAAAUAAACUGAGUGAUUAUGUGGAAACUUUUCUCACAAAGAUGACACCAUUAUAGGAAAUAUAAUUUUAACCUGGACAUUCUUUGAAUUUUUUAAGAAGUUUGCAUUUUGUAUGGUAGCAAAAUUAUCUUUAU